UGGGGAUGACGUCAAGUCCUCAUGGCCUUAUGCCCAGGGCGUACACACGUGCUACAAUGGGUGGUACAAAGAGAUGCCAACUCGCGAGAGCGCGCCAAUCUCAGAAAGCCAUCCUCAGUUCGGAUUGGAGUCUGCAACUCGACUCCAUGAAGUUGGAAUCGCUAGUAAUCGCGGAUCAGCACGCCGCGGUCGAAUACGUUCCCGGGCCUU
rnacentral:rRNA from 1 species